GCAAGUCGUACGAGAACGCUCUAGCUUGCUCGAGCAAGUACAGUGGCGCACGGGUGAGUAACGCGUGGGUAAUCUACCUUCGAAUUGGGGAUAACGUUGCGAAAGCGACGCUAAUACCGUAUGACAUCCACUUAUCUUCGGAUUUUUGGCUCAAAGGUGGCCUCUACCUGUAAGCUACUGUUUGGGGAUGAGCCCGCGUACCAUUAGCUUGUUGGUGGGGUAACGGCCUACCAAGGCAACGAUGGUUAGCUGGUCUGAGAGGAUGAGC
rnacentral:rRNA from 1 species